rnacentral:lncRNA from 1 species
UCAAAUUGCAAAUGCUUCUAUAAAAGCACGGAAAGACACUCUAAUAAUAACCAGCCGAGAGCUCAUUACUGGAAAAUGUCAUUUUUCAUCUCUCUCUCUCUCUCUCUCUCUCUCUCUUUUUAAAGUGCACUAAACCUAUAAAGAUGUGGCAAUUUGAACGUUUGCCGAGUGAUGCCGGUAACUUUAAACAACUAAAACUCGGGUAAGCUAGUGAUCCGUUUACUAUAGCUUUUUAUUAUUUUAAAUAAAAGAUCCAUGAGGUUUAUGAGAUCUAGUUCAAAUUGCCUCGGCUAGCUGCUAAGCUUUCAGCGUUGUAGCUUUUGCUCGAUCUUCGUGUCUUCCGAGGCACGAAGGCUAUCGUAUCAUCUACACAUAUAUAUAUAUAUAUAUAUCNGUAAGAUUUUUAUUUUCAGCCGUUGAUUUUGAGCCCCUUCGUUCACUAGGCAAAUGAUAUCGUAAAAUCAUAAAAUUUAUUUUCUAGGUACCUCAAAUACUCUAGAUCAAAUUUAACGGAGCCGAUCGACGAUUCGAAAGUCGCAACAUCGAAAACGAGCUGGAAGCACGGAAGGCUCCGUGCUUCCGAUAGCAUAGUAGCCUCACUCUAUAUAUAUUUAUGUGUGUGUGUGUGUGUGUGUGUGUGUGUGUCUAAUUGAAUGUGCCGAUGAAAACUUAAAGUAUCAUUCAAAUUAUUGAGUCUUUGCUCUAUAUGAAUAUAACCAUUUCAGUGGUUCAAAAAUGGAGGAAAACAUAAUUAAUACAAUUCUGAGAAAUAUCAGGAUAUAGAAUGAACAAAAUGAUCUUGAUAGUAAAUAUUAAAAACCCUAGCAUAUUUUGGUCAUUAUGGAAAAUUAGACAAUUAGCAAGAAGGUAUCUGCAAGAAGUAAGAUUACGGAAUGCAAGUUGUACAUGAUAAAGGCAAAAAAGGGAUACAAGAGGACAAAAUAAAGUUAUUCUGACAGCACUCUUAUUCUUUUAGGAUGCCAAGUAACAUACUUUUGCCUUGUAGAAAUGAGUAGUUGGAUAGUAAUAUAGUAAAGGUCAAAUCCAAUCCAAUAAGUCAAUCAGCCGAAGCUCGAUAAAAAGGGUGUGGAAAGGAAAUUGGAAUGAUUUGUGUUUCUUCAGAUUCAAUCUAAUUAACCAAUAAAUUGAUACAGUUUCAAUUUUUACAAGCUGCUUUAUCAACUGCUUAGGUUGGGCACACAGUAUUUGGUGUCCGAGAUUUUUUCGACUAAAUAUUGUGCACCUUGAUCUCAAAUAAUAUGUAUUAUGUGGCUUGAGCUUCAAUUGUUCAUUUGAACUUGUGCUGGAGAUUACACAAUAUACCUAAAUUGGAGUAAGUUGUGUUUCUGCUAGCUUUUUCUAAUUAGGACCCCUUACUAGUUUGUAGAAUCUAAUUUGUUCCUUCCAUAUCUGUUUAUUUUUUAGAAUCAUUUGCAAUCAGCAUUUUAGUGAGCUCUUGCUCCUUUACAUCUUUUCGUAACUAUUGACAAUCAUAGUUUACGCAUGACUUAAAAUGGAAAAAGGUAAAAGACAAUAUUAUCUGUUGUGCAAUUUCACCAUUUCUUUU